rnacentral:rRNA from 1 species
CCAGUAGUCAUAUGCUUGUCUCAAAGAUUAAGCCAUGCAUGUCUAAGUUCACACCCUUGUACGGUGAAACCGCGAAUGGCUCAUUAAAUCAGUCGAGGUUCCUUAGAUGAUCCAUUUCUACUUGGAUAACUGUGGUAAUUCUAGAGCUAAUACAUGCCCAACAGCUCUGACCCCGGGCUUCACGGUUCGGGGAAAGAGCGCUUUUAUUAGUUCAAAACCAGUCGGGGGUUUCGGCCUUCGUGCUUUGGUGACUCUGGAUAACUUUGAGCCGAUCGCAUGGCCUCGAGCCGGCGACGCAUCUUUCAAAUGUCUGCCCUAUCAAAUGACGACGGUACGUGAUCUGCCUACCGUGUUGACUACGGGUAGCGGGGAAUCAGGGUUCGAUUCCGGAGAGGGAGCAUGAGAAAG